CACACAGUCAGCCCCUCGGAACACACAGCGGGCUUUGAGGCCAGAGGAAAUAUUGGUGCUUGAAGGUCAUGCUGAGAUGUGUAGUGGAAUGUUAUGGUGCUUUACCGUGUUUGGGGCACCGUCACAGCCUGAGUGACGGUGCCAUGCUGCUUUCUCAAUCGAAACAUUCUGGACUCUAGAUUAGCCCAGAAGGAUUAGAUUAGACCAAAAUGCCCACUUAUCUUAAGCCCGAUCUGUCGCUGGGAGAAUUCAUGAGCUAGUUUUGCAUCUUUACUUGCUGGAGUAGUGAAAGCUUCGUGUAGGCGGCACGAUUCAAAACCGGAGGAUGAAAUCCUUUCACAGUUCCAGUGCUGUCAAGGUCGGCAGGAACACAGGACGCUGGAAAUGAUUAAUCUGUCAAUCUACAUCAAAGCUUCCUUCUUGGUGCCCUCCCUGUAGCCUCUCCUGCUCAGCAGCGAGAAUGAUCGUCUGUGCGUUCCCGUCCUCGCCGCUACACCUUUCCAGUCUUCCACUCUCCUGCUGCCUGCAACGUGAUGACAGGCUAAAAUACAGCACGUAAAAAUGACUUGGUUGGAGCCUAUUUUACAUCUGCGCUGCACCCCUAGACUGCACUUCCUCUCUGCGCAUCCCAGCGGCAGGGCCAUUUCACCAUAUACGAUGAUUACUGCUAUUUUCAAACCUGUGUGUUCAAAACCAGCCCGUUUCUACCUGCCACCCUGUCAGAGACCGCUGAGGAACAAUAAAACAUCUGCACCAUACGCGUAGCAGGCGAUAAUCUCGCCUGAAUUGAUAGCAAAUGAAGGAUUUGUUUUUGUAAAUUUGAGGUAUGUCUUUCCAGAGCGGUAAAUAUCACGGAUGCAAAUGGGAACGCCGCCUGUUAUCAUAAUGAUCCACGCGUAACGCACCGAAGAGUAAAACCUCUCUUCUUUAAAAUCAAAACCAAACAUUAUGAAAAUCUGAUUAAAAAAAUAAAUAAAUAAAUCACAGGUUCAUAUUAAUGUUCUAAUGUGUUAUCAUUUCUAUAGUAACAGCUCAUUCACAGGGACUAUGUAAUUGCUGAUAUGGUGUUGAUAGGUCUUCUAUCAAGACACAUUUAUAUCAAAUUUACAGAAGGAGUCUCCAGUGUCAGUGCGAUGAUAAGCGGUCAACCAGAUAAAAUGCACGACGUGUCGUUCUUGACAUUUUACGACAAAAUGUAAUCACGGGGAAAUCGCUUCGUCAUGUGCUGUUAGAGGAAAAUAAUCAACUUCACUUGAUUAUUUUCACAAUCCCUUCACUUCACUGAUUAUUUUCCUAUAACGGCGUAUUCUGAAGUGUUUUAUUCCUGACAACGUGCGAUCCAACAAAUAUGAUUUGGUUGACUAAAUAUACAAAAACAU
ensembl:lncRNA